rnacentral:rRNA from 1 species
UACAGGGGGUGCAAACGUUGCUCGGAAUUAUUGGGCGUAAAGCGCUUGUAGGCGGUCUGUUAAGUUCCGUGUGAAAGCCCCUGGCUUAACCAGGGAAGUGCGCGGAAAACUGGCGGACUUGAGUGCCGGAGAGGGUCGCGGAAUUCCCGGUGUAGAGGUGAAAUUCGUAGAUAUCGGGAGGAACACCAGUGGCGAAGGCGGCGACCUGGACGGACACUGACGCUGAGACGCGAAAGCGUGGGGAG